GAAAUGCGAUAAGUAAUGUGAAUUGCAGAAUUCAGUGAAUCAUCGAAUCUUUGAACGCACAUUGCGCCCUGUGGUAUUCCGCAGGGCAUGCCUGUUCGAGCGUCAGUACAACACUCAAGCCUAGCUUGGUCUUGGGCCUCGCCGGAGACGGCGGGCCUUAAAAUCAGUGGCGGCGCCUGUGAGGCCCUAAGCGUAGUAAUACUCCUCGCUAUAGGGUCCCCGCAGGAGCUGGCCAUCAACCCCCAACUUUCUAAGUUUGACCUCGGAUCAGGUAGGGAUACCCGCUGAACUUAA
rnacentral:misc_RNA from 1 species